rnacentral:rRNA from 1 species
UGGGGAAUUUUCCGCAAUGGGCGCAAGCCUGACGGAGCAAUACCGCGUGAGGGAGGACGGCUUUUGGGUUGUAAACCUCUUUUAUUGGGGAAGAAGAACUGACGGUACCCAAUGAAUCAGCAUCGGCUAACUCCGUGCCAGCAGCCGCGGUAAUACGGAGGAUGCAAGCGUUAUCCGGAAUUAUUGGGCGUAAAGCGUCCGCAGGUGGUUUUACAAGUCUGCUGUCAAAGCAUGGAGCUUAACUCCAUAUCGGCAGUGGAAACUGUGAGACUUGAGUUCAGUAGGGGUUGCGGGAAUUCCCAGUGUAGCGGUGAAAUGCGUAGAUAUUGGGAAGAACACCGGCGGCGAAAGCGCGCGACUGGGCUGAAACUGACACUGAGGGACGAAAGCUAGGGGAGCG